rnacentral:rRNA from 1 species
GACGAACGCUGGCGGCGUGCUUAACACAUGCAAGUCGAACGGAAAGGCCCUGCUUUUGUGGGGUGCUCGAGUGGCGAACGGGUGAGUAACACGUGAGUAACCUGCCCUUGACUUUGGGAUAACUUCAGGAAACUGGGGCUAAUACCGGAUAGGAGCUCCUGCUGCAUGGUGGGGGUUGGAAAGUUUCGGCGGUUGGGGAUGGACUCGCGGCUUAUCAGCUUGUUGGUGGGGUAGUGGCUUACCAAGGCUUUGACGGGUAGCCGGCCUGAGGGGGUGACCGGCCAAAAUGGGGAUGGGGAUACGGCCAGGACCCUGAGGGGAGGAAGAAGGGGGAAAUAUGGCACAUGGGCGGAAGGCUGAAGGAAGAAAGGCGGGGGGGGGAAGGCGGGCUUCCGGGUUGUAACCGGUUUCGGCUGGUGAGGAAGGGUAGGGGAGGUUAAGGGUUAAGAAAGAACGGCUUAAUAAGUG